ensembl:snoRNA
AUGCUCUUGUAGCUCAUAAGAAUGGUGACUGGGUGUUCACACGCAUAUGAGAUGUGCCUCCCUCAAACCUUGUUAAGACAUGGGCACAUACCCAUCUGAUG